UGAUUUAUAAAUACACCCAUCCAAAUGCAAUGUGCAAUAACCAUACUUACGCACACAAGUUAAGCGAGAUCUAAAGCAAGCCGGAGAGAAGAGGAGCCCAGCCGGCCGGCGGCAAGAUGUACAACAACCCUCCACCACCGCAGGGCAUGUCCUACUACGAGCACGCGCAGAAGCGCCACCAGGAGAAGGGCUGCCUUUAUGCCUGCGUGUUCACGGCGCUGUGCUGCUUCUGCUGCUACGAGACGUGCGAGUGCUGCCUCGACUGCCUCUGCUGCUGCUGCAACUAAACCAGCCAUGGUCACCAUGGACGGACGGACGGGCCUCCAAUACUGUUAAUUAUCCCAAAAAUAAUUUAGAAUUUCGUAAUAAUCUAGCUAGAAGUUUAGCUCGAUGAGAACUGUACCAGGUACUCCUAUAAUAUUAUCUGCACCAGACAAGACUAGCACUGUAAUCACUGCGCUUAUUUUAAUUAGCAUCAGAUUCUGGUCCUCGCCUGACCACUGCGCUUUUCA